rnacentral:rRNA from 1 species
GGGUGCGAUCAUACCAGCGUUAAUGCACCGAAUCCCAUCAGAAUUCCGCAGCUAAACCCGCUUGGGCUAGAGUAGUACUGGGAUGGGUGACUUCCCGGGAAGUCCUAGUGUGGGACCCU